rnacentral:rRNA from 1 species
GAUGAACGCUGGCGGCGUGCCUAAUACAUGCAAGUCGAGCGAACGGACGAGAAGCUUGCUUCUCUGAUGUUAGCGGCGGACGGGUGAGUAACACGUGGAUAACCUACCUAUAAGACUGGGAUAACUUCGGGAAACCGGAGCUAAUACCGGAUAAUAUUUUGAACCGCAUGGUUCAAAAGUGAAAGACGGUCCUGCUGUCACUUAUAGAUGGAUCCGCGCUGCAUUAGCUAGUUGGUAAGGUAACGGCUUACCAAGGCAACGAUGCAUAGCCGACCUGAGAGGGCGAUCGGCCACACUGGAACUGAGACACGGUCCAGACUCCUACGGGAGGCAGCAGUAGGGAAUCUUCCGCAAUGGGCGAAAGCCUGACGGAGCAACGCCGCGUGAGUGAUGAAGGUCUUCGGAUCGUAAAACUCUGUUAUUAGGGAAGAACAUAUGUGUAAGUAACUGUGCACAUCUUGACGGUACCUAAUCAGAAAGCCACGGCUAACUACGUG